GGGGUUGUAGCUCAGUGGUAGAGCACUUGCCUAGCACGCAUGUGGCACCAGUUUUGAUCCUCAGCACCA
rnacentral:tRNA from 1 species